AAUUGCUAGUAAUCACAGGUCAGCAUACUGUGGUGAAUACGUUCCCGGGCCUUGUACACACCGCCCGUCACACCAUGAGAGUUGAGAAUACCCGAAGUCCAUGUCAAAGUGGCCGAAGGUAGGCUUGAUGAUUGGGGUGAAGUCGUAACAAGGUAUC
rnacentral:rRNA from 1 species